CUAACAGCCGGUAGGCUGUUAGGAAUUGUGGGAGUUGAAGUCCAAAACACCUGGAGGGGCCCAAGUUUGCCCAUGCUUGCUCUAAGCCAUCAAAUUCUCCCUCGUCUCAGUUUCAUUGCAUUUGGGAUGGAGGGGAGCAGAGAACGAAAGAGUAAUAUUUGUAUAGGAGGGGGAUUGCAUUCCCUGUGCCAUGGUGACCCAUCCUUGCCUUUCCUUCUUCCAAGGAUGGUGAUUCAAUAGGGUGCUGUUUCAUACAUAUCCUUUAGAGUUCUUUUUUUGUUUAAUCUUCCUUUCGAAUGACUGUUUUAACUAAAAAAGAGAAAAGAAAAAUACCUCAGGUUUAAAAAGAAACGGUGAAGAACAAAAAUAUCAUCCAAGGGUCUCUCUUAACUGUAUAGACUGCUGCUUUGAGGAGGGAAGGGAGGCAGACGGACCAAUUUGGGGGUGCUAUCCAUGGCCAGAGAUACGGUUUGGACCCCAAGGGGUGCAGGCAAUGAAAUCCUCCCCUUUCUCUGCUUCCCUCCCCUACACAGGUUUUCCCACUUUACAAUCACUGGAAAGGCAUCCCCUCAUUGAUAUGUUGGUAAACGUGUCCCUUGGACACAAAACGGACUGGUCCUGGAAUGGUACAAGGACACGGAGAAAUGUCUCCUCCUGAAAUUCUCUUCUUGCCCCCUCCAUCCUCUCUGAGAUGUUAGCCUUCAACAAAAUGCUCCAAGGUCCCCCCUCUCCUCUAUCUGGUAUGCCAUGACAUGUCUCUUAGACACACUACACCAAACAUAGGGCCUAAACACACUGUAACACUGAAUCCCCCCCCUACUUGAUUUUAGUAAACCAGUACUAUAUUCUUCCCUCUCUUUUCCCCUCCAUGCAAAAUGCUUCAAGGUUCCCUCUCAUCCAUCUGAUCUGCCAUGGCAUGUCUCUUAGACACACUACACCAAAUGCAGAACCUAAACACACUAUAAGACAGGCAAUAAUACUAACUCCCACCCCCUCCAUUUUAGAAGUACCAUAUUUUUCUCUUUCUUUUCCCCUGUAUGCAAAAUGCUCCAGGGUUCCCUCUCUUCCAUCCAAUCUGCCAUGACAUGUCUCUUAGACACACUACACUAAACACAAGGCAUAAACACACUAUAAUACAGGUAUCAAAUUGGGACUUUUCCCCGUUUAGCAGACCACUGCUAUGUUAUCUUUUCCCUGCUCCCUCGCAACAACAAACUGCUCCAGGAUCCCCCUCCCCUCUAACUGGUCUGCCAUGGCAUGUCUCUUAGAGGUGCUACACCAAAUGCAGGGCCUAAACACACUAUAACACAGGCAGUAAUACUGAACCCCCCCCCCCCAUUUUAGUAGACCAAUCCCCAUUUUAGUAGACCAAUACUAUAUUCUUCCCCUCCACGCAAAAUGCUCCAAGGUUCCCUUUCUCUUCCAUCCAAUCAGCCAUGACAUGUCUCUUAGACACACUACUCUAAACACAAGGCAUAAACACACUAUAAUACAGGUAUCAAAUGGGACUUUUCCCCAGUUUAGCAGACCAGUGUUAUAUUCUCCUUUCCCUGCUUCCUCUCAACAACAAACUGCUCCAAGGCGUGUUCUCCUCCUCUAUCUGGUCUGCCGUAACAUGUCUCUUAGACACGCUACACUAAACACAAGGCAUAAACACACUAUAAUACAGGUAUCAAAUGGGAUUUUUCCCUUUUAGUAGACCAGUGCUAUAUUUUUUCCCUCCUCCCUCUCAACAACAAACUGCUCCAAGACCCCCUCCCCUUAAUCUGAUCUGCCAUGGCAUGUCUCUUAGACAUGUUACAUCAAACACAGGGCCUAAACAACACACUGUAACACAGGUAUCAAAUGGGCUUUCCCCCAGUUUAGCGGACCAGUGCUAUAUUCUCUCUUCUCCCAAUGCUUGCCCCCCAAUUCUUCAUCCCUCACAGGACUUGAAUCACACAGGUGCCCACUUCUCCUUACCCAUCCGUUGGGUAAGAGAAAGGGAAAGAAAACAAAAAUAAAAAGGGGAGGGGGGAUAUCUGGUUUGGAGCAAUGUGUCUUUGGCAGUAUUCAAUCUAAACACCUCCAUCUCGGCCUUUUUGGGACUGUUGGGGCUUUGGGGGGACAGGAUUCGGGGAGGGCCGCAAGAACAGGUUCCGAUCUGAAUUUCAGGGGUUCUAUUAUUGUACAAUAACUGUUUGCUAUAUAAACAAAACAAAAUCUUUGAAAAAAUGAAAUAUGUGUUUUGGUCUUAAAAGCCUGUUUUUGUUUUUUGUUUUGUUUUGUUCUACCCCUCCCCCACCUGACCCUUUUGGGGGUUUUAUUUUCAUUUUUGUUUAAAGAAAAAUGUUGCGAAUAAAAAAAGUUGGGUUUUUUUAA